CCACUGCUUAGUUGGUAAAGCACAAAGUUUUUAACCUUGUGGACGUGGGUUCAAGCCCCAUGGUGGU
rnacentral:tRNA from 1 species